rnacentral:rRNA from 1 species
UACGUAGGGCGCAAGCGUUGUCCGGAUUUAUUGGGCGUAAAGAGCUCGUAGGCGGUCUGUCGCGUCGGCUGUGAAAACCCGAGGCUCAACCUCGGGCCUGCAGUCGAUACGGGCAGACUAGAGUGUGGCAGGGGAGACUGGAAUUCCUGGUGUAGCGGUGGAAUGCGCAGAUAUCAGGAGGAACACCGGUGGCGAAGGCGGGUCUCUGGGCCGUUACUGACGCUGAGGAGCGAAAGCGUGGGGAGCGAACAGG